GUUGUAUGGUUAAGUGACUAAGCGUACACGGUGGAUGCCUUGGCAGUCAGAGGCGAUGAAAGACGUAGUAACUUGCGAUAAGCCCAGAUUAGGUAGUAACAACCAUUUGAGUCUGGGAUUUCUGAAUGGGGAAACCCACGUGCAUAAGCACGUAUCCUUACCUGAAUACAUAGGGUAAGGAGGCGAACCGGGGGAACUGAAACAUCUAAGUACCCCGAGGAAAAGAAAUCAACCGAGAUUCCGAAAGUAGCGGCGAGCGAAAUUGGACUAGCCCUUAAGCUUUACACGCGUUAGACGAACGGUCUGGAAAGUCCGACGAUACAGGGUGAUAGUCCCGUAGUUGACGACGUGUGUUCAGUGAAAUCGAGUAGGGCGGGACACGUGAUAUCCUGUCUGAAUAUGGGGGGACCAUCCUCCAAGGCUAAAUACUACUGACUGACCGAUAGUGAACCAGUACCGUGAGGGAAAGGCGAAAAGAACCCCUGUGAGGGGAGUGAAAUAGAACCUGAAACCGUGUACGUACAAGCAGUAGGAGCACCUUCGUGGUGUGACUGCGUACCUUUUGUAUAAUGGGUCAGCGACUUAUAUUCAGUGGCAAGGUUAACCAUCUAGGGGAGCCGUAGGGAAACCGAGUCUUAACUGGGCGUUCAGUCUCUGGAUAUAGACCCGAAACCAGGUGAUCUAGCCAUGGGCAGGUUGAAGGUUGAGUAACAUCAACUGGAGGACCGAACCGACUAAUGUUGAAAAAUUAGCGGAUGACUUGUGGCUAGGGGUGAAAGGCCAAUCAAACCUGGAGAUAGCUGGUUCUCCCCGAAAGCUAUUUAGGUAGCGCCUCGGACGAAUACUACUGGGGGUAGAGCACUGUUAAGGCUAGGGGGUCAUCCCGACUUACCAACCCUUUGCAAACUCCGAAUACCAGUAAGUACUAUCCGGGAGACACACGGCGGGUGCUAACGUCCGUCGUGGAGAGGGAAACAACCCAGACCGCCAGCUAAGGUCCCAAAUUACUACUAAGUGGGAAACGAUGUGGGAAGGCUCAGACAGCCAGGAUGUUGGCUUAGAAGCAGCCAUCAUUUAAAGAAAGCGUAAUAGCUCACUGGUCGAGUCGGCCUGCGCGGAAGAUGUAACGGGGCUAAGUAGUAAACCGAAGCUGCGGCAAUACUCUUUGAGUAUUGGGUAGGGGAGCGUUCUGUAAGCGGUUGAAGGUGUGUGGUAACGCAUGCUGGACGUAUCAGAAGUGCGAAUGCUGACAUGAGUAACGAUAAAGGGGGUGAAAAACCUCCUCGCCGGAAGACCAAGGGUUCCUGUCCAACGUUAAUCGGGGCAGGGUAAGUCGACCCCUAAGGCGAGGCCGAAAGGCGUAGUCGAUGGGAAACGGGUUAAUAUUCCCGUACUUCUUACAAUUGCGAUGGGGGGACGGAGAAGGCUAGGUGGGCCUGGCGACGGUUGUCCAGGUUCAAGUGCGUAGGCUUGAGAGUUAGGUAAAUCCGGCUCUCUUUAAGGCUGAGACACGACGUCGAGCACCUACGGGUGUGAAGUCAUUGAUGCCAUGCUUCCAGGAAAAGCCUCUAAGCUUCAGAUUGUAAGGAAUCGUACCCCAAACCGACACAGGUGGUCGGGUAGAGAAUACCAAGGCGCUUGAGAGAACUCGGGUGAAGGAACUAGGCAAAAUGGUACCGUAACUUCGGGAGAAGGUACGCUCUUGAUGGUGAAGUCCCUUGCGGAUGGAGCUGACGAGAGUCGCAGAUACCAGGUGGCUGCAACUGUUUAUUAAAAACACAGCACUGUGCAAAAUCGUAAGAUGACGUAUACGGUGUGACGCCUGCCCGGUGCCGGAAGGUUAAUUGAUGGGGUUAGACUUCGGUCGAAGCUCUUGAUCGAAGCCCCGGUAAACGGCGGCCGUAACUAUAACGGUCCUAAGGUAGCGAAAUUCCUUGUCGGGUAAGUUCCGACCUGCACGAAUGGCGUAAUGAUGGCCACGCUGUCUCCACCCGAGACUCAGUGAAAUUGAAAUCGCUGUGAAGAUGCAGUGUACCCGCGGCUAGACGGAAAGACCCCGUGAACCUUUACUACAGCUUGGCACUGAACAUUGACCCUACAUGUGUAGGAUAGGUGGGAGGCUUUGAAGCACGUACGCCAGUAUGUGUGGAGCCGUCCUUGAAAUACCACCCUUGUAGUGUUGAUGUUCUAACGUCGACCCCUUAUCGGGGUUGCGGACAGUGCCUGGUGGGUAGUUUGACUGGGGCGGUCUCCUCCCAAAGAGUAACGGAGGAGCACGAAGGUGGGCUAAUCACGGUUGGACAUCGUGAGGUUAGUGCAAUGGCAUAAGCCCGCUUGACUGCGAGAAUGACAAUUCGAGCAGGUGCGAAAGCAGGUCAUAGUGAUCCGGUGGUUCUGAAUGGAAGGGCCAUCGCUCAACGGAUAAAAGGUACUCCGGGGAUAACAGGCUGAUACCGCCCAAGAGUUCAUAUCGACGGCGGUGUUUGGCACCUCGAUGUCGGCUCAUCACAUCCUGGGGCUGAAGUCGGUCCCAAGGGUAUGGCUGUUCGCCAUUUAAAGUGGUACGCGAGCUGGGUUUAGAACGUCGUGAGACAGUUCGGUCCCUAUCUGCCGUGGGCGUUGGAAGAUUGAAGGGGGCUGCUCCUAGUACGAGAGGACCGGAGUGGACGAACCUCUGGUGUUCGGGUUGUGUCGCCAGACGCAUUGCCCGGUAGCUAAGUUCGGAAUCGAUAACCGCUGAAAGCAUCUAAGCGGGAAGCGAGCCCUGAGAUGAGUCUUCCCUGAUACUUUAAGUAUCCUAAAGGGUUGUCGGAGACUACGACGUUGAUAGGUCAGGUGUGUAAGUGCUGUGAGGCAUUGAGCUAACUGAUACUAAUUGCCCGUGAGGCUUAACCAUACAACACCCAAGGGGUUU
rnacentral:rRNA from 1 species